AUCAGUGAUCUAGUAAAGAAGCAGAGCUGAGGGAGGAUGGAGGACACUGUACAAGGAGACGUCUCUGGUCCUUGUAAAGACCUAAUUUUUGUGACCUUCCAACUCCUUUGGUGCUAAAGGAAAAGAAGUUCAAGCAAGAGAUAUACGGACUCAUAUUUGGUUCAAAGAACAGCUUUUAUUAGGGAAAUCAAGCUAGUAUUCAAAAUGACCUAUAGCCAAAUGGGAAAUGAAUGGAUAUUUGGAGCUCCCCCAGCCCCUAGAGCACAGCAGGCGACCUCCGACUUUGCUGAGCAACUGAAUGAACACUGAGAUUGGCUAUGGCUUCAUGUUGUCACUAAUGUCAUGAUUCUGGGUGUAGGUACCUGCAGCAUGGUGAUUUUAUUCGUCAGAAGGGUCUCUGAAAUCCAAGAGAGAAUGAUGUGGGAAUUUGCAGGAUGGGGUCAGCCCACAGGGAUACUGCCCAGCUCCAUUCUGAGCUUCCAAAGUCUCUUCCAUCUACCUCCUCCCUAGACCGACUCACACCCUCCAGCGGGAGCAUCUGAUCCAGCAAGAAGCUGGAUCUUCAAGGCUUGGUUAAAACAGAUCACCACCGCUCUGAGUGUGCAGGUAUGUUUCUGAAAGGACAGGCUUGGUGGAUAGAACAUGUAGUCAGAGUUUCUUGAAUACUAGUGUUCAGAAAAUACUGGGAGACAUUAAUUUUGUUUUUUCCCUUUUCCUUCCAUGCAGGUGGGUGGCAAGUCUGGUGUUUGAUUGCCUCAGGGAAGGAAUGUGUCAGGGCUGAAGACAGAAGUAUCCCCCAAGAUUUCUGUUCUGAGAACCUAAACUGGUUGAGGAUAGGUUUGUGGGAGAAGAGCGAGUGGCUUGGAAGACUCUGGAAAGAAAGAGAGGGGCUUCUCUCUAAGAAAAAUUGAUUAUCCCUGGGCUGGGGUAGGAGAGGGAGGCCAGUGGGUCCCUGGAGUAGUGGGAAGGCAGAGGCCACCCACGGAGGAAAUAGGUAUGGCAGUGCAUCCGUGGGCAUAGACUGUAGGCACUGGGUUCCCAGCCUGCUGCACAGUCCUGUGUCCCAGCUCUGGGUGGAAGCUGCAGGGAGAACUCAGAGCUGAGAAGAAAGAAACCAGUGGAACUCUCAGGGGCGAUCCAUGACAGAAGAUUCUGUCCCCAUGCCUGGGUGCCGCCUAAGACCCCAGAUCCUUGACUAUAUAGCCUGGGUUGCGCCGAGGGAGGCCCUGACAAAAUGAGGUGGAAGGUCCUGUAGUUCUGUGAAGUUCCAAAUGGGAAAUGGGGUUGGUUAUUGAAAGUGGAGAGGCAUAACCUUUCUUGCGCCCCUGACUUUUGAGACACUCUAUAUUUAGCGUUGGUGGGCUGAGAACCCAGAGAAAGAGGAAGUGGUUGGUGAGCACGAGGACAGGACAGCGUUCCGGCUGACCAAGGGGGCGGCCUUGAGCCUGUCCUUGGUUCCCAGGUGUCCUUGAGGAGGUCUAGAGCACUUGAUUCCGCCAGGCUUCUGUAUUCACAGUUAAAGAAGUAAUCCAUGCCUAAUGAUGCCAUAAACACCAUCACACCUUCUUUUGUGUAAAUAAUGUCUGAUAAAAUGAGGUGUGAGCCUGCUGCUGCAAAGAACACUUAGCUGUUAAAUGCUUUCCUUUCCACUCCAUUGACUUUCCCUAUUUAUAGCUAUUCCAGCCAAGCAGUUCCUGUCAUAUUCAUUUCCUGCCAGCUGCUAGUUUCCUCAUCUUAGGGAAACACAGAGGUGCCUCCCCAGCACCACCCAGUUGCCGUGGCACUAGCCUCUGCUUGGUUCAGGAGUCGACAGAGAAAAUGCAGUGUGUGGUCUUGUCUGGCUUCCUCUCUGGACUUGGCCCAGAAGCUUUUUUUUAUCAGCUGAGACAGUAACAGUUCCUUGACCUGGGUUUAUCUGCUGGUGUAGAACCUUGUAGAGAGCUGCCUGGAGAAAUGUCUUCCUGGUGGUGAAAGACCAUCUUCCUGGUGACAUGGUGACAUGUGGCUCUGUCCUUGGCCUCGGACACUGUGGCCCUGGCUGACCCGGGACCUGAGACGGGCAGCAGAAAGUCAGUCCUUGUCUCUAUGACUCUGAAGUUCCUCUUAUCAAGGGGCACUUCACUCUGGAAACGGGGCUGGCCUUCCUGCUACGGAAGUGAUGAUGUAUCAGCUCUGAGCCCAGGCCUCAGGAGCUCUUGGAAGCUUUCCUCCACCCCUUGGAACCCUGCCAUGGCCAUGUGAAGUAGCCCAGGCUGGCCUGCUGGACAAUGAGAAACCCCAUGGAGUAGAGCUGAAGACCCCAGUGACUGCAGAUAACACAAGAGCAGCCGGUGAUGGCCCAGAACAGCACAGCCAGCCCAGGGACUCAUGAGUGACAGGACCUGAAAGCACGGGGCCAGCCAAGCACCUAUCGUUCUUCAUGGUGUAUUAAACUCCAUGGCAGCAAAGGGCUAGCAGGGAUUGGCUUUCUGAUCAUGCCAGAGGCAAGAAGAGAGGUGGACAGUGAUGCUGGGAAACCAGCUGCUCAAGUAUCAUCCAGGCCUCCAAUAUCCAUAGCCGAAUGUAUGGUUGAGUCAACGAUACUUCUGUAGGGUCCAAGGUCUGCCCAAGCUCUACAAUUCUGGAUUCUUGUCCAGGCUAUGCUGUAGAAUGGCCCAGCUCUGCAAGUCACUUCUGGAAGGCACUCAGGAUGCCCAGCAGGAUGAGCUAGUGGACACUCUUAAACCCCUUAGGCCCACCCGUUCUUGUUGCCAGGUCUCUGCUGUUCUUUCUGCCUGGAGCACUUUCCCCUGGCUCUCUCCAUGGCUCAGUCCUUCUCAUCCUCAGGUCUCUGUUCCAAUGCCAUCACUCUCAAAUGUCACUCUCUGUACUGCCUGGUUUAUUUCCCUCAAAGCUCUAAGCACAAUCUGUAAUGAUCUUGCAUAUCUGUUUAUCUAUUGCCUUUCCCCCAGUUAGUCCGCAAACCUCAUCAGGAAGGAUGGUAUGUCCUUGCUGACUGAGGUAUUUUCAGUCCUUGUCACUGUGUCAUUCCAUCACAGGCAGCCAAAAAAGAAUGACUCAUGUUUGUCAAAUGAAUAAUAUGGGAAUAAAUCCAGAAGACCCAGUUUCCUGGAGGAAAUGCAGCAGCCUGAGCUCUUUAGAAAGGGUUUCCCGAGGUGCAGUCACAUAUCACCUGUGGUGUGCAAGUGAACCAUGGGUGGAACUUACACUUUUUUACAGUUAUCUGUUUAUUUUAACAUAUUUUAGAAAAUUGGAACUAAGAAAUCACCUUUAUUUAUCAGAUUUUAUUGCUUAAGAUGAAGCUUAGAUAUGUACUGAGCAUAGAAAAUGUGAAUUGAUCUAAAGACAACUGCUUAGUAGGUAAUAGCACAAAUAGUACAUGAGUAUGGAAAAAAGGUGAUUCUUCAGUGACUGAAGUUUGGGAGCCUCUGGUUCAAAACAAUGUUGGUAUGGCCAAAGGGAAUCCAGUCCAUAAUGUAGGCAUAUACUUAUUCAAUGAAUAGUUAUUAAGCAUCUACUGUUUUCCAGCCAUUGUGCUAGGCACUAAGGUCAUGGCUCUAAAUAGAUACAGCACUUGCCCUCCUGGAACCUCUGAUCUGGUGAAGGAGAUAAUGGACAAAUAAAUACAUCAUUACAGGGUGGGGUGAGGGGAAAGGAGAACAAGUGUAGUGAGGGAAUUGAGGGGGCACCUGAGCAGAAGAUCAAGAAGUGAGCACAGGCUUGCAUGCCAAGACCACAGGAUGACAUGGGAAGAUAACAGGAUAAGAAAAAACUGGGUAUGGAUGAGGCAGGAUGGUACUGCAGAGACUCUUAAGAAUACAUCUGUAAGUUACACUGACAGCAAGAAAGAGUAGAAUUAGGGAUGUAGAAAUUAAAAAUCAGAAAAAACUUGAGCCGGGUCUUGGGCAUCUCAAGUAAAUGUCCAUGAGAUUGAGCUGAUGAGUAAGAAGGUGCCUGGAAGCCAGAGUCAGUGUUCAGUUGGUGAUGCUACUGAAGAAGGGACCCGAAACAAAGUGGACAGAGCUAUAGGCCAAGCUCUCAUUAAAGAGACAUUUCCAGAGAUGAAAGAUGGCUAUGUGGGCAGAUCAAAGGCUAGCUUAGUCCUUACAAAAUAAAGCCCACAUCAGGAAUUCACCCAUCCAUCCACCCAUCAUCUAUUUAUACAAACAUGAAUCAUUUAAAAUUAUGCAGAAAAUGCAAAAGUUCCAUAUUAUAGAUACCCAGGAUGAAUAAAGCAGCCUUUUCUACCAAUUCAAGCCAAACAAGGACUUUGUAGCAGCAUGAAGUGCUAGAAAACCACAGGUCAUCAUCCAGAAUUCUGCAGGAAAAAAUUUGGGACUCCCAAUACUUAGUAUUUAGCCAAUCUAUGUGAAGGAUUAAAAGACGUGCAACAGACUGAAAGGGAUUCCACCUCCCUCUUUAAAAAGUUCCUUGGAAAUGAUAGCAAGGACCUAAGAGACGGUGUGAAAGACCUCAGGGAGGGAGAAAUUGUGCCGAAAAGGACAGUGACUGGGAUUGAACAAAGGGCUGAGUCCAGAUAACUAAUAAAUUAGCUUCAAACAUCCACAUUUUUCUUUAUGAAGAUAUAACAAUUAAUAAUGUAUACUUCAAUAAAGUUUUAAAAAAUGAAUAAUUUGAUAAAUUAAAUCCAAAAUCCCAGAUUAAAUUAACAAAGACAGAGGAGUUGGUAAUAUAGAGGAAGAAGGGGUGGGAAGGAGCAUAGUAAAAGCACAGGAAAUUCUUUCCCACAGGGAACUGCCUACUCAUUUACUCUACUAGAGAAAAGCAAAAUGAAGAAUUAAAAACAGGACAGAUAGCUUUCAAAAUGCAGAAAAUAAAAAAGCAAAGAAAAUGCAGCUCCUACAACAAAAGGGAUGGGAAAGGAAAAGCAGGAAGAAAAUCACCAAAAUUGUAGAGCAAGGUGACAGAAGCAUGGAAGUAGGACUGACUGUGUUACUAUUGAAAAUCACUGGAAAGAGGCUAGACACUGUAAUUUUAAAAAAUGACUACGAUAAAGAUUUCUCAUUCUCAAAUAAGACCUAGUCCUAUUCGUGUUUGCAAGGCCACCCCAGAACACAGCGACAGAAACAUUUUAUAUGAAAAUGAAGACGUUCAGAUACAUCACAGGCAGAUGCUGGUCUGAAGAUAUUAAUACCGGAGAGGGUAACUCCAAGGCAAAGGAUCUGAAAUGAAACAAAGUGGAUC